UACGUAGGCAGCGAGCGUUGUUCGGAGUUACUGGGCGUAAAGAGUGCGUAGGCGGUUUUCUAAGUUUGGUGUGAAAUCUCCCGGCUUAACUGGGAGGGUGCGCCGAAAACUGGAAGGCUUGAGUAUGGGAGAGGUAAGCGGAAUUCCUGGUGUAGCGGUGUAAUGCGUAGAUAUCAGGAGGAACACCUGCGGUGUAGACGGCUUACUGGACCAUAACUGACGCUGAGGCACGAAAGCGUGGGUAGCAAACAGG
rnacentral:rRNA from 1 species